UAUAGCCAACUUCAAAACCAGCUCACGCUCCCAACUACGAGCCACUUGCACGACUGGCUCUAUGUGGUCACAGCAUGGCCAGCAAAGACUGUCGUGGUGAAUUUACCCUUCCUGGCAUGUGAGGAGAGGGCUCACGUUGUGAGGUGACAUGUGCAUGCAUUCCUGUCAUCUGUGCCAGUUACUAGCCAUUUAAGCUCAUUAUCUCUCUGAAGUUCGGUGCCCUCAACUCAAAAACGAGGGUCCCAGCAUCGAGGACUGAAAGUGAAAUCUGCACCAAGUGUUCAACAGAGUCCCCGUCACAUGGAGAGGGCUCAGUAAGCGUGAGCUGCCGACAGAACCACAGCCACGAAGUGGGAACCUGAUCGGCCCCACCCGGACCUCGGAAACGGCUCAGGUCUGUGAGGCAAAAUCACUGCUCUGCAGAGAUCGUAUGUGUGCAAAGAGUUUCCUUCUUGAGAUGCACUGUGUUUGGUGCCAUUAAGAUACAACACGAUGCCCCAGCGUGCCGAGCCUCAGGAGGUCUGCUCCGUCCUGGUGACUCCACCACCGCACGAAUCACACGGCUACGCAAACGGCCUUGGAAAGGGAUCAGAUCUUCCCAUUCUGACACGUACACACAACCUGUAAAUCUUGUAUUCUGAGUCGGCCCGAACAUAAGGGUUGCAGGUAGAAAUCUGAUACUCUGCUGCUCCGAGGUAAAGAAUACCCAUACGUACCCAACACGAGGACACGCAACCCCAGGACUGGAUCUACAUUAGACGUGCGGAGGACGAAGCUGGCAUCCAGAACCUGAAGCAACCUCUUCCCUUUGUCGUCUUGCUUCUGUUGUUCAGGGGUCUCCCCCAGAAUCUAAAACUUCAUGCACCCAGACGCUUCAAAGAAGAACCACACUUUUGGGCCACAGAUCAUUCCCUAUGAGACGAAGAGACGUGCUACCAUACAACAGAGGGAAACCGGUGGCGAAGGGAGCCCGCUCCGAGUCCAGACAGAAGUGAAGAGGACGGCUUCGUGGGGAAGGCGGUAUUUCCACCGUCUCUGCAGGAGGGGCUGGCUGGCGCACUGACAGGUGCUCUGCAAACCCUUGCUGAGCUUUUACUGUGUGGUUCGUAACAAAGACGGACAUAAAUCCUG